rnacentral:rRNA from 1 species
CGAACGGGUGAGUAACACGUGGGUAAUCUGCCCUGCACUCUGGGAUAAGCCUGGGAAACUAGGUCUAAUACCGGAUAUGACAUUUCACCGCAUGGUGGGGUGUGGAAAGUUCUGGCGGUGCAGGAUGAACCCGCGGCCUAUCAGCUUGUUGGUGGGGUAGUGGCCUACCAAGGCGACGACGGGUAGCCGGCCUGAGAGGGCGACCGGCCACACUGGGACUGAGACACGGCCCAG